rnacentral:lncRNA from 1 species
GCAGCUACAGCAUACGCAGAUACUGCUGUAUUUAGAAUUACACGGAAGAUAUGGAAAGUAAUUCUUUAUUUUCUUCAUUGUUUUCUCAUAACGUGUACCUGGUUUUCACAGAACCCAAUCCACCAACAGCACAGCGUGCACAGUUUUGAAAGAAGAUGCAAAGAGCUUUGUGUAAAGUGCAAGGCUCUUCUGGAGGACUUCUUAGCCUGUGAACUUUCAAAGAGUAUGAUUAGUGAGGGUUGCACAAUUACCAAAUAUCCAUACAAGAUGUCAUCUAGUUACAGAGCCCGUAUUCUGAGGCAAUACCAAAAUGGCAGAGGAGGUCAUGAGGAAGUCACACUACUACUUUAAAAGUGAGCUUAGCUGUGAAAAAUUGGGUAAGAAGCAGGGCCUUGCUGAAUACAAGAUACUACAUCUGAAGAGUGCACUCUUGGAUAAACAGAAAUUACAGAGUAAAUAACAAAAUGUGAAGAAAUAAAAUCCAAAUUGAAGUGUGGAAAUUGUGGACU